rnacentral:rRNA from 1 species
UAAUACGUAGGGAGCAAGCGUUGUCCGGAAUCAUUGGGCGUAAAGCGCGCGUAGGCGGCCCUGUAAGUCCGCUGUGAAAGUCAAAGGCUCAACCUUUGAAAGCCGGUGGAUACUGCAGGGCUAGAGUCCGGAAGAGGCGAGUGGAAUUCCUGGUGUAGCGGUGGAAUGCGCAGAUAUCAGGAGGAACACCAAUAGCGAAGGCAGCUCGCUGGGACGGUACUGACGCUAAGGCGCGAAAGCGUGGGGAGCGAACAGGAUUAGAUACCCUGGUAGUCCACGCCGUAAACGAUGGGCACUAGGUGUGGGAGGUGUCGACUCCUCCCGUGCCGUCGCUAACGCACUAAGUGCCCCGCCUGGGGAGUACGGCCGCAAGGCUA